AUUGAACGCUGGCGGCAGGCCUAACACAUGCAAGUCGAGCGGAUGAAGGGAGCUUGCUCCUGGAUUCAGCGGCGGACGGGUGAGUAAUGCCUAGGAAUCUGCCUGGUAGUGGGGGAUAACGUCCGGAAACGGGCGCUAACACCGCAUACGUCCUGAGGGAGAAAGUGGGGGACCUUCGGACCUCACGCUAUCAGAUGAGCCUAGGUCGGAUUAGCUAGUUGGUGGGGUAAAGGCCUACCAAGGCGACGAUCCGUAACUGGUCUGAGAGGAUGAUCAGUCACACUGGAACUGAGACACGGUCCAGACUCCUACGGGAGGCAGCAGUGGGGAAUAUUGGACAAUGGGCGAAAGCCUGAUCCAGCCAUGCCGCGUGUGUGAAGAAGGUCUUCGGAUUGUAAAGCACUUUAAGUUGGGAGGAAGGGCAGUAAGUUAAUACCUUGCUGUUUUGACGUUACCAACAGAAUAAGCACCGGCUAACUUCGUG
rnacentral:rRNA from 1 species